rnacentral:rRNA from 1 species
AGCGGACAGAUGGGAGCUUGCUCCCUGAUGUUAGCGGCGGACGGGUGAGUAACACGUGGGUAACCUGCCUGUAAGACUGGGAUAACUCCGGGAAACCGGGGCUAAUACCGGAUGGUUGUUUGAACCGCAUGGUUCAAACAUAAAAGGUGGCUUCGGCUACCACUUACAGAUGGACCCGCGGCGCAUUAGCUAGUUGGUGAGGUAACGGCUCACCAAGGCGACGAUGCGUAGCCGACCUGAGAGGGUGAUCGGCCACACUGGGACUGAGACACGGCCCAGACUCCUACGGGAGGCAGCAGUAGGGAAUCUUCCGCAAUGGACGAAAGUCUGACGGAGCAACGCCGCGUGAGUGAUGAAGGUUUUCGGAUCGUAAAGCUCUGUUGUUAGGGAAGAACAAGUACCGUUCGAAUAGGGCGGUACCUUGACGGUACCUAACCAGAAAGCCACGGCUAACUACGUGCCAGCAGCCGCGGUAAUACGUAGGUGGCAAGCGUUGUCCGGAAUUAUUGGGCGUAAAGGGCUCGCAGGCGGUUUCUUAAGUCUGAUGUGAAAGCCCCCGGCUCAACCGGGGAGGGUCAUUGGAAACUGGGGAACUUGAGUGCAGAAGAGGAGAGUGGAAUUCCACGUGUAGCGGUGAAAUGCGUAGAGAUGUGGAGGAACACCAGUGGCGAAGGCGACUCUCUGGUCUGUAACUGACGCUGAGGAGCGAAAGCGUGGGGAGCGAACAGGAUUAGAUACCCUGGUAGUCCACGCCGUAAACGAUGAGUGCUAAGUGUUAGGGGGUUUCCGCCCCUUAGUGCUGCAGCUAACGCAUUAAGCACUCCGCCUGGGGAGUACGGUCGCAAGACUGAAACUCAAGGAAUUGACGGGGCCCGCACAAGCGGUGAGCAUGUGGUUUAAUUCGAGCACGCGAGAACCUUACC